UGGCCAAAGUCCGUAUGA
rnacentral:snRNA from 1 species